rnacentral:rRNA from 1 species
UACGGAGGGUGCGAGCGUUGUUCGGAAUCACUGGGCGUAAAGGGCGUGUAGGCGGGCCGCUAAGUCUGAUGUGAAAGCCCGGGGCUCACCCCCGGAAGGGCAUUGGAAACUGGCGGACUCGAGUCCCGGAGAGGAAGGUGGAAUUCCUGGUGUAGCGGUGAAAUUCGUAGAUAUUGGGAAGAACACCGGUGGCGAAGGCGGCUCACUGGCUCAUAUCUGACGCUCAGGCGCGACAGCGUGGGGAUCAAACAGG